CGUGAAUCAGUCCAUUCAUUUAUUAGCGACGGUGCUGAGUGGUCAUAAUAACGUGGAAUCGUCUGCUUGUCUCUGGAUUCAACACCACACAGAUUGUUUUAUUACUUCAAGUCAAAAUGCAGUCCUUCAGCUGUUACAGAACAAUAUCGAUAUUGGCUACACUGAUGAGAACCUUCAUAGCGAUCAUCGGUCAAGGAACAUCUAUUACAAACGACAGAGCCCUGUUUGCUAAGGUUGAUUCAAGAUACCCACAAGAUUUAGGAAACUGCUCCCUGGCAAAUUACAGUGGAGUCGUGAAACCAUCCCACUGCGCUCACUAUUGUUCCCUCC